UACAGAGGUCUCAACCGUUGUUCGGAUUCAUUGGGCGUAGAGGGUGCGUAGGCGGUCGGGUAAGUCGGAUGUGAAAUCUCAGGGCUCAACCCUGAACUGCAUUCGAUAGCUGCCUGGCUAGGGUACUGGAGAGGAGACUGGAAUUUACGGUGUAGCAGUGAAAUGCGUAGAUAUCGUAAGGAAGACCAGUGGCGAAGGCGAGUCUCUGGACAGUUACCGACGCUGAGGCACGAAGGUCAGGGGAGCAAACGGG
rnacentral:rRNA from 1 species